GCCUUUGUAGUGUAGUGGUCAGCCCACUGGGCGCGUAUUCCAGAGGUCCGUGGUUCGAGUCCCGGCGAAGGCG
rnacentral:tRNA from 1 species